rnacentral:rRNA from 1 species
UCUGAAUCUGCGAACGGCUCCGCAAACCAGUUGUAAACUAUAGCAAGCAGGCUCGGGGUCGGCCUUCACGGGCUGGCCUCGGGUGAUAUGGAUAACCCUGGUAAUUCUGAGGCUAAUACAUGAACGUAGAACCCGGUUGACUAGGCUUCACGGCCCGGGAUGCUGGGGGAUGUGCGAUUGGCAGGCUUGGGUAACACCGGGAAAGGGCGCGCGUCCAGACCGCGCUAUAAAGGAUGGGCUCCUCACGGGGCCUGCCCCAGCGGCUCUUGCUGUGUGCUUCUGACCUAUCAACUAGACGGCAGCGUAAGGGACAUG